CCCAGACUCCUACGGGAGGCAGCAGUGGGGGAUAUUGCACAAUGGGGGGAACCCUGAUGCAGCGACGCCGCGUGGGUGAAGGAGUGCUUCGGCAUGUAAAGCCCUAUCGGCAGGGAAGAAGCAAGACGGUACCUGACUAAGAAGCCCCGGCUAACUACGUGCCAGCAGCCGCGGUAAUACGUAGGGGGCGAGCGUUAUCCGGAUUCACUGGGUGUAAAGGGAGCGUAGACGGCUGUGCAAGCCAGAUGUGAAAGCCCGGGGCUCAACCCCGGGACUGCAUUUGGAACUGCGUGGCUUGAGUGUCGGAGAGGCAGGCGGAAUUCCUAGUGUAGCGGUGAAAUGCGUAGAUAUUAGGAGGAACACCAGUGGCGAAGGCGGCCUGCUGGACCGUGACUGACGUUGAGGCUCGAGAGCGUGGGGAGCAAACAGGAUUAGAUACCCGAGUAGC
rnacentral:rRNA from 1 species